GGUUAAGCGACUAAGCGUACACGGUGGAUGCCCUGGCAGUCAGAGGCGAUGAAGGACGUGCUAAUCUGCGAAAAGCGUCGGUAAGGUGAUAUGAACCGUUAUAACCGGCGAUGUCCGAAUGGGGAAACCCAGUGCAAUUCGUUGCACUAUCGUUAACUGAAUACAUAGGUUAACGAGGCGAACCGGGGGAACUGAAACAUCUAAGUACCCCGAGGAAAAGAAAUCAACCGAGAUUCCCCCAGUAGCGGCGAGCGAACGGGGAGCAGCCCAGAGUCUGAAUCAGCUUGUGUGUUAGUGGAACGGUCUGGAAAGUCCGACGGUACAGGGUGAUAGUCCCGUACACCAAAAUGCACAGGUUGUGAACUCGAAGAGUAGGGCGGGACACGUGGUAUCCUGUCUGAAUAUGGGGGGACCAUCCUCCAAGGCUAAAUACUCCUGACUGACCGAUAGUGAACCAGUACCGUGAGGGAAAGGCGAAAAGAACCCCGGCGAGGGGAGUGAAAAAGAACCUGAAACCGUGUACGUACAAGCAGUGGGAGCACCUUCGGGUGUGACUGCGUACCUUUUGUAUAAUGGGUCAGCGACUUAUAUUCUGUAGCAAGGUUAACCGUAUAGGGGAGCCGCAGGGAAACCGAGUCUUAACUGGGCGUUAAGUUGCAGGGUAUAGACCCGAAACCCGGUGAUCUAGCCAUGGGCAGGUUGAAGGUUGGGUAACACUAACUGGAGGACCGAACCGACUAAUGUUGAAAAAUUAGCGGAUGACUUGUGGCUGGGGGUGAAAGGCCAAUCAAACCGGGAGAUAGCUGGUUCUCCCCGAAAGCUAUUUAGGUAGCGCCUCGUGAACUCAUCUUCGGGGGUAGAGCACUGUUUCGGCUAGGGGGUCAUCCCGACUUACCAACCCGAUGCAAACUACGAAUACCGAAGAAUGUUAUCACGGGAGACACACGGCGGGUGCUAACGUCCGUCGUGAAGAGGGAAACAACCCAGACCGCCAGCUAAGGUCCCAAAGUCAUGGUUAAGUGGGAAACGAUGUGGGAAGGCACAGACAGCCAGGAUGUUGGCUUAGAAGCAGCCAUCAUUUAAAGAAAGCGUAAUAGCUCACUGGUCGAGUCGGCCUGCGCGGAAGAUGUAACGGGGCUAAACCAUGCACCGAAGCUGCGGCAGCGACACUAUGUGUUGUUGGGUAGGGGAGCGUUCUGUAAGCCUGCGAAGGUGUGCUGUGAGGCAUGCUGGAGGUAUCAGAAGUGCGAAUGCUGACAUAAGUAACGAUAAAGCGGGUGAAAAGCCCGCUCGCCGGAAGACCAAGGGUUCCUGUCCAACGUUAAUCGGGGCAGGGUGAGUCGACCCCUAAGGCGAGGCCGAAAGGCGUAGUCGAUGGGAAACAGGUUAAUAUUCCUGUACUUGGUGUUACUGCGAAGGGGGGACGGAGAAGGCUAUGUUAGCCGGGCGACGGUUGUCCCGGUUUAAGCAUGUAGGCUGGUUGUCCAGGCAAAUCCGGAUAAUCAAGGCUGAGGUGUGAUGACGAGGCACUACGGUGCUGAAGUAACAAAUGCCCUGCUUCCAGGAAAAGCCUCUAAGCAUCAGGUAACAUUAAAUCGUACCCCAAACCGACACAGGUGGUCAGGUAGAGAAUACCAAGGCGCUUGAGAGAACUCGGGUGAAGGAACUAGGCAAAAUGGUGCCGUAACUUCGGGAGAAGGCACGCUGGUGUGUAGGUGAAGCCCCUGCGGGUGGAGCUGAGACCAGUCGAAGAUACCAGCUGGCUGCAACUGUUUAUUAAAAACACAGCACUGUGCAAACACGAAAGUGGACGUAUACGGUGUGACGCCUGCCCGGUGCCGGAAGGUUAAUUGAUGGGGUUAUCCGUAAGGAGAAGCUCUUGAUCGAAGCCCCGGUAAACGGCGGCCGUAACUAUAACGGUCCUAAGGUAGCGAAAUUCCUUGUCGGGUAAGUUCCGACCUGCACGAAUGGCGUAAUGAUGGCCAGGCUGUCUCCACCCGAGACUCAGUGAAAUUGAACUCGCUGUGAAGAUGCAGUGUACCCGCGGCAAGACGGAAAGACCCCGUGAACCUUUACUAUAGCUUGACACUGAACAUUGAGCCUUGAUGUGUAGGAUAGGUGGGAGGCUUUGAAGCGUGGACGCCAGUCUGCGUGGAGCCAACCUUGAAAUACCACCCUUUAAUGUUUGAUGUUCUAACGUUGGCCCCUUACCGGGGUUGCGGACAGUGUCUGGUGGGUAGUUUGACUGGGGCGGUCUCCUCCUAAAGCGUAACGGAGGAGCACGAAGGUUAGCUAAUCCUGGUCGGACAUCAGGAGGUUAGUGCAAUGGCAUAAGCUAGCUUGACUGCGAGCGUGACGGCGCGAGCAGGUGCGAAAGCAGGUCAUAGUGAUCCGGUGGUUCUGAAUGGAAGGGCCAUCGCUCAACGGAUAAAAGGUACUCCGGGGAUAACAGGCUGAUACCGCCCAAGAGUUCAUAUCGACGGCGGUGUUUGGCACCUCGAUGUCGGCUCAUCACAUCCUGGGGCUGAAGUAGGUCCCAAGGGUAUGGCUGUUCGCCAUUUAAAGUGGUACGCGAGCUGGGUUUAGAACGUCGUGAGACAGUUCGGUCCCUAUCUGCCGUGGGCGCUGGAGAAUUGAGGGGGGCUGCUCCUAGUACGAGAGGACCGGAGUGGACGCAUCACUGGUGUUCGGGUUGUCAUGCCAAUGGCACUGCCCGGUAGCUAAAUGCGGAAGAGAUAAGUGCUGAAAGCAUCUAAGCACGAAACUUGCCCCGAGAUGAGUUCUCCCUGAGACUUUAAGUCUCCUGAAGGAACGUUGAAGACGACGACGUUGAUAGGCCGGGUGUGUAAGCGCAGCGAUGCGUUGAGCUAACCGGUACUAAUGAACCGUGAGGCUUAACCUU
rnacentral:rRNA from 1 species